GCUACGGGAGGCUGCAGUAGGGAAUAUUGCUCAAUGGGGGAAACCCUGAAGCAGCAACGCCGCGUGGAGGAUGAAGGUUUUCGGAUUGUAAACUCCUUUUGUUAGAGAAGAGAAUGACGGUAUCUAACGAAUAAGCACCGGCUAACGCCGUGCCAGCAGCCGCGGUAAUACGGAGGGUGCAAGCGUUACUCGGAAUCACUGGGCGUAAAGAGCGCGGAGGCGGGAUUGCAAGUCAGAUGUUAAAUCCUAUGGCUUAACCAUAGAACUGCAUUUGCAACUGUUAUUCUAGAGUAUGGGAGAGGUAGGUUGAAUUCUUGGUGUAGGGGUCAAAUCCGUAGAGUUCAAGUGGCAUCCUCAUUGCGAAGGCGACCUGCUAGAACAUAACUGACGCUGAUGCGCGAACGCGUGGGGAGCAAACAGGAUUAGAUACCCCUGUAGUC
rnacentral:rRNA from 1 species